GACGAACGCUGGCGGCGGGCUUAACACAUGCAAGGCGAACGGAAAGGCCCUGCUUUUGUGGGGUGCUCGAUUGGCGAACGGGUGAGUAACACGUGGGUAACCUGCCCUUGACUUUGGGAUAACUUCAGGAAACUGGGGCUAAUACCGGAUAGGAGCUCCUGCUGCAUGGUGGGGGUUGGAAAGUUUCGGCGGUUGGGGAUGGACUCGCGGCUCAUCAGCUUGUUGGUGGGGUAGUGGCUUACCAAGGCUUUGACGGGUAGCCGGCCUGAGAGGGUGACCGGCCACAUUGGGACUGAGAUACGGCCCAGACUCCUACGGUAGGCAGCAGUGGCGAAUAUUGCACAAUGGGCGGAAGCCUGACGCAGCACCCCCGCCAGCGGAAUGACGGCCGCUGGGUUGUAGACCGCUUUCGCGUGUGACGAAGCGUGAGUGACGGUAAUGGGUAAAGAAGCACCGGCUCACUACGUG
rnacentral:rRNA from 1 species